rnacentral:lncRNA from 1 species
GGGGAGGAUCUGGCUGGUUUAAUGGUGAUUCGAUGCAAAAACCGUUGAUUCCAUUCUGAUGUACUCAAGAACAGAGAUGGCUGGAGACAGAGACAAGGAGAGUCAGAAAGCGACAGAAAAAUGAUUCUUCAAGGCGAAUGACUCGAAAUGGAGAUUUCUUCUAACACCGCGUGAUCACCGACAACUUUUGCAGGACGGGAUGAAACUCCUCUGGGUUUCCAGUCAGAUGUGCGAGUGGGCUCUCUUUAAAUUAUAAACCUGCAGUCUAACAGAGCCUUCAAGGUUAUGGCCAUGAGAAAUGUGAGUGGAGAUAAAACCUCACAUCUUGAGGAUUAACAAGGAGAAUUUUUUAGUAGCAAAAUUAUAUUCUCUUUCAU